GUGGGUAGAGCUCAGCAGUAGAGCGUGUGCUUAACACGCACAAGGUCCUGGGUUCAAUCCUUCAGUACCUUCA
rnacentral:tRNA from 1 species